AGACCCGAAACCCGGUGAUCUAGCCAUGGGCAGGUUGAAGGUUGGGUAACACUAACUGGAGGACCGAACCGACUAAUGUUGAAAAAUUAGCGGAUGACCUGUGGCUGGGGGUGAAAGGCCAAUCAAACCGGGAGAUAGCUGGUUCUCCCCGAAAGCUAUUUAGGUAGCGCCUCGUGAAUUCAUCUCCGGGGGUAGAGCACUGUUUCGGCUAGGGGGCCAUCCCGGCUUACCAACCCGAUGCAAACUGCGAAUACCGGAGAAUGUUAUCACGGGAGACACACGGCGGGUGCUAACGUCCGUCGUGAAGAGGGAAACAACCCAGACCGCCAGCUAAGGUCCCAAAGUCAUGGUUAAGUGGGAAACGAUGUGGGAAGGCCCAGACAGCCAGGAUGUUGGCUUAGAAGCAGCCAUCAUUUAAAGAAAGCGUAAUAGCUCACUGGUCGAGUCGGCCUGCGCGGAAGAUGUAACGGGGCUAAACCAUGCACCGAAGCUGCGGCAGCGACACUGUGUGUUGUUGGGUAGGGGAGCGUUCUGUAAGCCUGUGAAGGUGUGUCGUGAGGCAUGCUGGAGGUAUCAGAAGUGCGAAUGCUGACAUAAGUAACGAUAAAGCGGGUGAAAAGCCCGCUCGCCGGAAGACCAAGGGUUCCUGUCCAACGUUAAUCGGGGCAGGGUGAGUCGACCCCUAAGGCGAGGCCGAAAGGCGUAGUCGAUGGGAAACGGGUUAAUAUUCCCGUACUUGGUGUUACUGCGAAGGGGGGACGGAGAAGGCUAUGUUGGCCGGGCGACGGUUGUCCCGGUUUAAGCGUGUAGGUGUGUGUUCCAGGUAAAUCCGGUUCACUUUAACACUGAGGCGUGACGACGAGGCACUACGGUGCUGAAGCAACAAAUGCCCUGCUUCCAGGAAAAGCCUCUAAGCAUCAGGUAACAUCAAAUCGUACCCCAAACCGACACAGGUGGUCAGGUAGAGAAUACCAAGGCGCUUGAGAGAACUCGGGUGAAGGAACUAGGCAAAAUGGUGCCGUAACUUCGGGAGAAGGCACGCUGACACGUAGGUGAAGUGAUUUACUCAUGGAGCUGAAGUCAGUCGAAGAUACCAGCUGGCUGCAACUGUUUAUUAAAAACACAGCACUGUGCAAACACGAAAGUGGACGUAUACGGUGUGACGCCUGCCCGGUGCCGGAAGGUUAAUUGAUGGGGUCAGCGCAAGCGAAGCUCCUGAUCGAAGCCCCGGUAAACGGCGGCCGUAACUAUAACGGUCCUAAGGUAGCGAAAUUCCUUGUCGGGUAAGUUCCGACCUGCACGAAUGGCGUAAUGAUGGCCAGGCUGUCUCCACCCGAGACUCAGUGAAAUUGAACUCGCUGUGAAGAUGCAGUGUACCCGCGGCAAGACGGAAAGACCCCGUGAACCUUUACUAUAGCUUGACACUGAACAUUGAGCCUUGAUGUGUAGGAUAGGUGGGAGGCUUUGAAGUGUGGACGCCAGUCUGCAUGGAGCCGACCUUGAAAUACCACCCUUUAAUGUUUGAUGUUCUAACGUGGACCCGUUACCCGGGUUGCGGACAGUGUCUGGUGGGUAGUUUGACUGGGGCGGUCUCCUCCUAAAGAGUAACGGAGGAGCACGAAGGUUGGCUAAUCCUGGUCGGACAUCAGGAGGUUAGUGCAAUGGCAUAAGCCAGCUUGACUGCGAGCGUGACGGCGCGAGCAGGUGCGAAAGCAGGUCAUAGUGAUCCGGUGGUUCUGAAUGGAAGGGCCAUCGCUCAACGGAUAAAAGGUACUCCGGGGAUAACAGGCUGAUACCGCCCAAGAGUUCAUAUCGACGGCGGUGUUUGGCACCUCGAUGUCGGCUCAUCACAUCCUGGGGCUGAAGUAGGUCCCAAGGGUAUGGCUGUUCGCCAUUUAAAGUGGUACGCGAGCUGGGUUUAGAACGUCGUGAGACAGUUCGGUCCCUAUCUGCCGUGGGCGCUGGAGAACUGAGGGGGGCUGCUCCUAGUACGAGAGGACCGGAGUGGACGCAUCACUGGUGUUCGGGUUGUCAUGCCAAUGGCACUGCCCGGUAGCUAAAUGCGGAAGAGAUAAGUGCUGAAAGCAUCUAAGCACGAAACUUGCCCCGAGAUGAGUUCUCCCUGAGACUUAAAGUCUCCUGAAGGAACGUUGAAGACGACGACGUUGAUAGGCCGGGUGUGUAAGCGCAGCGAUGCGUUGAGCUAACCGGUACUAAUGAACCGUGAGGCUUAACCUUACAACG
rnacentral:rRNA from 1 species